rnacentral:lncRNA from 1 species
GAAUGAACAAAUUUUCCCUGACAUUUUCCGGUUUUCCAUGUCUUUUUAAAAUUCCCUGAAAUUUCCCGGUUUUCCCUGACUGUGGCAACCCUGAUUUGUUUGUUCAAUUUUUCUGGUCCUGUCUUUGACUAAGAACCGUGACUGUGAGGAUACUUACAGAAUCUGGCCUUGGCAGUGUGUGGCAGUGUUGGUUCACUAGCCUCACCCGGACCGGCUUUGUUGACGGCACGAACACGGAAUUGGUAAACUUCUCCUUCAUUCAAGCCAGUAACUUUUCCUUUGCAGUCUCCGCCAUAAACCUCGGCAACCUUGGUGAAGUUUGGAGAGUAUUUUGAUUUCAUUUCAAUAAUGUAACCUAAAGAAAAUGAUAAAGAAGAAAAUAUUGGAGAGGAGUAGUAGUCAGAGCUAGUACUAUGAAAUUUAUCCAAGAUUGUCCAGUAUACUGCUGUGCUAAGAGAAAACUCUGUAUGAACCUUCAGAUGGUUCCAACACUUCGUUUCGGAAGAUCCAGCGAACAACUGGAGGAGGUUCACCCUUAAUGUCAACGUCAAAUUUAACUGUCUGUCCAGCUCGGACAGUAACCUUUUGAAGCUUCUCACGGUUGAUCCAGGGUUUGCCUUUGAAGGAAAAAAAUUAAAUAUAUUCAAACUCGUAUUUUAUCCUAGAAAAGUCCUGAUGUUUUUUUAUUCUGUCCAGUGAUUAUUCAAGUCCUGAUACUUUGUUGGUUUAUUGCUAAAAAAAAUUGAUUUUUUCCUUUAACAAAUAUCAACAAAAUUUCCCUCCACUUUUGC